rnacentral:rRNA from 1 species
CCUACGGGAGGCUGCAGUCGAGAAUCAUUCACAAUGGGGGAAACCCUGAUGGUGCGACGCCGCGUGGGGGAAUGAAGGUCUUCGGAUUGUAAACCCCUGUCAUGUGGGAGCAAAUUAAAAAGAUAGUACCACAAGAGGAAGAGACGGCUAACUCUGUGCCAGCAGCCGCGGUAAUACAGAGGUCUAAAGCGUUGUUCGGAAUCACUGGGCGUAAAGCGUGCGUAGUCUGUUUCGUAAGUCGUGUGUGAAAGGCGCGGGCUCAACACGCGGACGGCACAUGAUACUGCGAGACUAGAGGAAUGGGGAGGGAGCCGGAAUUCGGGGUGUAGAAGGAAAAUGCGUAGAUA